AACGAACGCUGGCGGCAUGCCUAACACAUGCAAGUCGAACGAGACCUUCGGGUCUAGUGGCGCACGGGUGCGUAACGCGUGGGAACCUGCCCUUAGGUUCGGAAUAACUCCCCGAAAGGGGUGCUAAUACCGGAUAAUGUCUUCGGACCAAAGAUUUAUCGCCUUUGGAUGGGCCCGCGUUGGAUUAGCUCGUUGGUAGGGUAAAAGCCUACCAAGGCGACGAUCCAUAGCUGGUCUGAGAGGAUGAUCAGCCACACUGGGACUGAGACACGGCCCAGACUCCUACGGGAGGCAGCAGUGGGGAAUAUUGGAAAAUGGGCGAAAGCCUGAUCCAGCAAUGCCGCGUGAGUGAUGAAGGCCUUAGGGUUGUAAAGCUCUUUUACCCGGGAUGAUAAUGACAGUACCGGGAGAAUAAGCUCCGGCUAACUCCGUG
rnacentral:rRNA from 1 species